rnacentral:rRNA from 1 species
UUCGGAUUGUAGUCUGCAACCCGACUACAUGAAGCUGGAAUCGCUAGUAAUCGCGAAUCAGAAUGUCGCGGUGAAUACGUUCCCGGGUCUUGUACACACCGCCCGUCACACCAUGGGAGUCGGAAAUGCCCGAAGUCAGUGACCCAACCGUAAGGAGGGAGCUGCCGAAGGUGGAGCCGGUAACUGGGGUGAAGUCGUAACAAGGUACC